ACACAUUUUUAAAAAGGCAACGAAAGCAGAACUGAGUUCGGGUGUAUUUUAUUUAGCCAUCGUACAAUGUUCUCACGUUUUUCGAUCAAUCAUUACCCAGAAAUCCAUCAAAGUCCUCAUCCUCUGUAUCAGAAGCAGAGGACUGCACAUCCCAGUUGUCAUUGAAUGCAUCACAUGCUAAAGUGUGAGUUGCUACGCAUUGCCGAGCGGAAAGAAGGAGCAGCAACAGCAAAGUCAACAUUUCUCUCGUGUGAAGCUUUCCCACAUUUGAAAGUAAAGAACAGAGCGAAAAAUGGUGGCAGCGCGUGUGUGUGUAGAAAGAAUUGAACAAUUGUGCAAGUACCGUAAUCCAUCAAAAACGCCGCGUUCCCUCUCGUUGUUGCGUAUUGUGGUGUAACUCGCCCAGCGCUGCCUCUCACUCUUUGUAAAGUUGUGUUUGCCAUCAAUCAUCCAUUGUUCCCAUGCCAUUCGCAACUUUACUUUGAACGCCCGGUUGAUACCGAUGUCCAGCGGUUGGAGUUCUUUAGUCAAGCCUCCGGGAAUAACGGCAAGCUCAGAGUUCAUUUGCGUGACUUGGUUUUUCACCGCUGCUGUGAGAUGGGCACGCAUGCCAAAAGCAUAACCGAUGGCUUGAAGUUUGAACUGAGCUUCGUAGACGCGUCUCUUUGUAGAAUUUAUUUUCGGGGGUUCUUAGAAACCAAAACCGAAGUUGUUUUGCAACAAUGCACAUAGCCACACUCUAUACAGGUGUUGGUACCUGCUUGGGGCGUCCCUUUAGCGUCCACUUACAUGCCCACUCUUCACUCAUUGGCGGACUUCUUUGCCUCAUGCCUGUCCUCACUCACGUCUGCCUCUUCUCUCUCUCUCUCUCUCUCUCUCUCUCUCUCUCUCUCUCUCUCUCUCUCUCUCUCUCUCUCUCUC